rfam:Gossypium raimondii chromosome 5, whole genome shotgun sequence.
AAACCAUGCAUCGGACAUUUCUUAAGUAAUUCCUUGAAUCGCUUCCAAGCUUCAUAUAGUGUUUCAUCCUCUAAUUUCUGAAAAUAUGUGAUGUCAUUCCUAAACUU